rnacentral:rRNA from 1 species
GAUGAACGCUAGCUACAGGCUUAACACAUGCAAGUCGAGGGGUAACGAGAGGAAAGCUUGCUUUCCUUGUCGACGACCGGCGCACGGGUGAGUAACGCGUAUCCAACCUGCCCCCAACUAGGGAAUAACCUUGCGAAAGUAAGACUAAUACCCUAUAAUUUCCUCAGAUGACAUCUGACGAGGAAUAAAGAUUUAUCGGUUGUGGAUGGGGAUGCGUCUGAUUAGCUUGCUGGCGGGGUAACGGCCCACCAAGGCAACGAUCAGUAGGGGUUCUGAGAGGAAGGUCCCCCACAUUGGAACUGAGACACGGUCCAAACUCCUACGGGAGGCAGCAGUGAGGAAUAUUGGUCAAUGGGCGGAAGCCUGAACCAGCCAAGUAGCGUGCAGGAUGACGGCCCUAUGGGUUGUAAACUGCCUUUAUACAGGAAUAAAGUUAGCCACGUGUGGUUAUUUGUAGGUACUGUAUGAAUAAGGACCGGCUAAUUCCGUGCCAGCAGCCGCCGUAA